rnacentral:rRNA from 1 species
UGGGGAAUUUUGCACAAUGGGGGAAACCCUGAUGCAGCGACGCCGCGUGAUUUAGAAGGCCUUCGGGUUGUAAAAAUCUUUUCUAUGGGAAGAAAAUGACAGUACCAUAGGAAUAAGGACCGGCUAAUUACGUGCCAGCAGCCGCGGUAAUACGUAAGGUCCGAGCGUUGUCCGGAAUCAUUGGGCGUAAAGGGUACGUAGGCGGGUAAGCAAGUUAGAAGUGAAAUCCUAUAGCUCAACUAUAGUAAGCUUUUAAAACUGAUCAUCUUGAGGUAUGGAAGGGAAAGUGGAAUUCCUAGUGUAGCGGUGAAAUGCGCAGAUAUUAGGAGGAAUACCGGUGGCGAAGGCGACUUUCUGGCCAUAACCUGACGCUGAGGUACGAAAGCGUGGGUAGCAAACAGG